GUACGUACAAGCAGUGGGAGCACCCUUCGGGGUGUGACUGCGUACCUUUUGUAUAAUGGGUCAGCGACUUAUAUUCUGUAGCAAGGUUAACCGUAUAGGGGAGCCGGAGGGAAACCGAGUCUUAAUUGGGCGUUAAGUUGCAGGGUAUAGACCCGAAACCCGGUGAUCUAGCCAUGGGCAGGUUGAAGGUUGGGUAACACUAACUGGAGGACCGAACCGACUAAUGUUGAAAAAUUAGCGGAUGACCUGUGGCUGGGGGUGAAAGGCCAAUCAAACCGGGAGAUAGCUGGUUCUCCCCGAAAGCUAUUUAGGUAGCGCCUCGUGAAUUCAUCUCCGGGGGUAGAGCACUGUUUCGGCUAGGGGGCCAUCCCGGCUUACCAACCCGAUGCAAACUGCGAAUACCGGAGAAUGUUAUCACGGGAGACACACGGCGGGUGCUAACGUCCGUCGUGAAGAGGGAAACAACCCAGACCGCCAGCUAAGGUCCCAAAGUCAUGGUUAAGUGGGAAACGAUGUGGGAAGGCCCAGACAGCCAGGAUGUUGGCUUAGAAGCAGCCAUCAUUUAAAGAAAGCGUAAUAGCUCACUGGUCGAGUCGGCCUGCGCGGAAGAUGUAACGGGGCUAAACCAUGCACCGAAGCUGCGGCAGCGAACGUAUCACCCAAGACAACUUUACGGAGUUGACGAUUGACGGAGCGAAGCGACGUCAAAGCGUUCAUUAAAGUCGAGUUGGCUUAGGGAUACGUUCGUUGGGUAGGGGAGCGUUCUGUAAGCCUGUGAAGGUGUGUCGUGAGGCAUGCUGGAGGUAUCAGAAGUGCGAAUGCUGACAUAAGUAACGAUAAAGCGGGUGAAAAGCCCGCUCGCCGGAAGACCAAGGGUUCCUGUCCAACGUUAAUCGGGGCAGGGUGAGUCGACCCCUAAGGCGAGGCCGAAAGGCGUAGUCGAUGGGAAACGGGUUAAUAUUCCCGUACUUGGUGUUACUGCGAAGGGGGGACGGAGAAGGCUAUGUUGGCCGGGCGACGGUUGUCCCGGUUUAAGCGUGUAGGUGUGUGUUCCAGGUAAAUCCGGUU
rnacentral:rRNA from 1 species